rnacentral:rRNA from 1 species
AGACGUCUACAUUAGAUACCCGCGUAGUCCCAGCCCUAAACGAUGCGCGUUAGGUGUAUCGGUGACCACGAGUCACCGAGGUGCCGAAGGGAACCGUGAAACGUGCCGCCUGGGAAGUACGGUCGCAAGGCUGAAACUUAAAGGAAUUGGCGGGGGAGCACCACAACGGGUGGAGCUUGCGGUUUGAUUGGAUUCAACGCCGGAACUCUUACCGGGACCGACAGCAACAUGAAGGCCAGGCUGAAGACUUUGCCGGAUUAGCUG